rnacentral:rRNA from 1 species
GAUGAACGCUGGCGGCGUGCCUAAUACAUGCAAGUCGAGCGAACGGACGAGAAGCUUGCUUCUCUGAUGUUAGCGGCGGACGGGUGAGUAACACGUGGAUAACCUACCUAUAAGACUGGGAUAACUUCGGGAAACCGUAGCUAAUACCGGAUAAUAUUUUGAACCGCAUGGUUCAAAAGUGAAAGACGGUCUUGCUGUCACUUAUAGAUGGAUCCGCGCUGCAUUAGCUAGUUGGUAAGGUCACGGCUUACCAAGGCAACGAUGCAUAGCCGACCUGAAAGGGUGGACGGCCACACUUGAACUGAGACACGGUCCAGACUCCUACGGGAGGCAGCAGGAGGGAAUCUUCCGCAAUGGGCGAAAGCCUGACGGAGCAACGCCGCGGGAGUGAGGAAGGUCUUCGGAUCGUAAAACUCUGUUAUUAGGGAAGAACAUAUGUGUAAGUAACUGUGCACAUCUUGACGGUACCUAAUCAGAAAGCCACGGCUAACUACGUGC